rnacentral:rRNA from 1 species
UACGAAGGAUGCAAGCGUUAUCCGGAUUUAUUGGGUUUAAAGGGUGCGUAGGCGGCCUUAUAAGUCAGUGGUGAAAUCUCGUUGCUUAACACCGAACGUGCCAUUGAUACUGUAGGUCUUGAGUACAGAUGCCGUUGGCGGAAUGUGUCAUGUAGCGGUGAAAUGCAUAGAUAUGACACAGAACACCGAUUGCGAAGGCAGCUGACGAAACUGUAACUGACGCUGAGGCACGAAAGCGUGGGGAUCAAACAGG